UUUUAAAAAAAAAGUAUAGUGGUGAGUAUCCCCGCUUGUCACGUGGGAGACUGGGGUUCAAUUCCCCGCCUGAGAG